UAGGGAAUUUUCGUUCAAUGGGCGGCAAGCCUGAACGAGCAAUGCCGCGUGAACGAGGAAGGUCUUCGGAUCGUAAAGUUCUGUUGAAGGGGAAAAAGAGCGGAGAGAGGAAAUGGUCUCCGAUUGAUAUUACCCUUCGAGGAAGUCACGGCUAACUACGUGCC
rnacentral:rRNA from 1 species